AGCAGCCGCCGCGGUAAUACGUAGGGUGCAAGCGUUAAUCGGAAUUACUGGGCGUAAAGCGUGCGCAGGCGGUUUUGUAAGACAGAGGUGAAAUCCCCGGGCUCAACCUGGGAACUGCCUUUGUGACUGCAAGGCUAGAGUACGGCAGAGGGGGAUGGAAUUCCGCGUGUAGCAGUGAAAUGCGUAGAUAUGCGGAGGAACACCGAUGGCGAAGGCAAUCCCCUGGGCCUGUACUGACGCUCAUGCACGAAAGCGUGGGGAGCAAACAGGAUUAGAUACCCGGGUAGUCCCUGUCUCUUAUAC
rnacentral:rRNA from 1 species